rnacentral:lncRNA from 1 species
UCUAAGAGAUGUCAAGCACCCUAUUCCAUUCAUCGGCAAACACUUCUGCUUUGUGGAAAACAGUAGAAAUCUAAGGUUGAUCAAGUACCUUAUAUCACUAGGUAACUCCUCAAUACUGUCACUUAAUACUAAAGUUUGUAAAUUGUGUAACUUGCAAAUGGAAUUGGGAAGCUUUUUAAUUCCAGAAUUUCCAUAUAGACGGAGAUAUCUCAAAUGCUUUAGAGCACCAAUCCAAUCUAGUGAUAUUUCUAAUUUGGAAUGAGCCAAAUCCAACAUUCGCAAAUAGUGAAAUCUCAAUAAAUAUGAAUCCAAGUUUGAUUGGCUGCUAGGACUCUUUUCAUCACUCUGGAAUAUGGCAGUUCGCACACGGUCUAAACCUUGUAAAAGGGUGGAAAGAUCUUGAGGAAGUGAAGUGGAGUUAGGAAAUAGCAAAUGGCGAACAUUGUGUGAGAUGUGUGUGGUGCUUGAGGUUAUUGCUAAAAAUUCAUUUUGUGUCAAUGAUAAUGCAAGAUCAUGUACUAGAUCAUGCAUUUUACAUGUAAUCCAUAUGCCCUCACGAGUCUCAAAGUCUUGAAAAAAAGAUCUAGACCCCAGCUCCUGAAAAUAGCGCGACCCAAUAUCUUCCAGCUCUUCAUUUUGGUUUGCUGAUUCAAGAAGUCCAUGUGCCAUCCAAAAUUGAAUUAAUUCCCAGUUAGAGAAUUCAUAGUCCUUUGGAUAAAAAGAGCAAUAAGCAAAGCACUUUUUCAAAUGAGCAGGCAACUGCUCGUAACUUAAUCUCAAAGCAGGUAAAAUAUCAGUUUCCUUCUGCUCUAUCUUCCAUAACUCGCUAUCUCUUAUAGACUUCCAAUAACUUUCAUCAGUAUUCAGAAGAAGAAGUGAUGCUAAUGUCUUCACUGCUAAUGGAACCCCUUUGCAUUUUUUGACAAUUUCAACCCCAAUUUUUAACAAGUUUGGAUAUCGCUUCACUUGGCCUUCUUUAAAUGCAAAUUUAGUAAACAAAGCCACACACUCAUCUUCAGGAAGACCCGAUAACUCAUAUGCUUUUGGGAUGGUGCCCAUAAUGGAGGCUACUUUAUUACUACGUGUAGUUACUAAGAUUUUGCUUCCAUUGGCACCCAUACACAAGAGCUCUUUCAAUUGGUUCCAUUUCAUAGGGUCAUCAUUCCACACAUCAUCUAAGAUGAGCAAAUAUUUCUUAUCACCAAUGAUCUCCCUCAAAAUUCUUUGUAACUGAUCCAUUUCCAUUUUGCUCAACUUCUCUACAUGUCUCAUUCCCUCUUCUGUAGACUUAAUAAUUUUCUCUGUCAAAAUCUUUAUGUCAAAUUCUUCUGAUACACAAACCCAUAUUUGAAGUUGAAAAUGAUUCCUUACCCUUUCAUCAUUAUAAACAAAUUUAGCGAGUGAAGUUUUUCCCAACCCUCCAAUUCCAACAAUAGGAAUGACAGAGAUUUGAUCGCUAUCACUAGAGUCUUGUAAAAGUGUAAUGAUAUUUUCUUUAUCAUCAUCUCUACCUAUAACUUCAGAUGCUUGCACAAAUGAGUGAGUCAGUGCUCUUUCUCUAGGCAUAACAUGCCUACUUUCAUAUCGUUCUAUGAGAUGAAAUUUAGAUUUCUGACUUGCAAUCUCAUCUAAUUUUUCUCUUAUUUGCUUUACUUUUGCACUCAUUUUAAUACGAAAUGCCAUUAGAUUAGAACAUGAAAGAAAGUGACCCACCUGUAAUCCAAAAAUAUACAGUAUUGAUUUCAUAUGCUUACAUUUAGACGUAAUCAGUAACUAAUCAAUUAAUAUAAAAGCAUGCUUUUCUAAAUGACUAUCCGAUUGCAAGUAAUUAUAAUAAUAUUUCAAACUCUACACAGGGCUUUAGUUUUUUAUUCUCAAACUUAAAAUAAUGAGAAAUAUUUGAUUUCGAUCAUAUAUUUUAAAUUUCUUUUUGGAUAUGUUGACAUAUGAAUGGUUGAUUAGUGAGUUUUUUAUAUUAUAAGAACUAAGUAAUAAUUAUUUUAAAUAAUAAUUAUUUUAUAUUAAAUACAGUUUUAUUAUUAUUUUUAUAGUAUAUAUUAACCUUAUAAAUUUUUAAAUAUAAUUAUUUUAAUUUAUUGGAGUUCAUGAUACAAUUUUUAAAAAGUACUAAAAAUUCAAUAAUACGUAUAAUUUUAUUAUUUAUGUUAUUUGAAUUCAUAAAAUAAUUAAAAAAAUUAUUUUUUCAUGAGUUAAUAACAAAAAAAAUUAUUUUUGUUUAUUUUUAUAAUUAUACCCUAUUUUUUUAUAAUUGACCAAUUAAAUUUUACAUUUUAAUAUUUAUUCUAAUUAUACAUUCACGUUAAUUUUUCAUUAAAAACUAAUAAAAUUAUCACAUUAUUUAAUAUAUUAUUGUUAGAUCACUGCUAGUUCAACAAAAUUCAUAAUACAAUUAAUUACGACUUAAAAAGUUAAGGUUUAAUUGAUAAAUUUUUAAAAUUUAAGAUAUAAUUAUAAAUUUUUUUAAAAAUUAUGAUUUUUUUUAUCAUUUAUCCUAAAAUUAAAAUUGAUAAUAUUAAAAAAUAAUUUAUAGUAUUAUUAUAAAUUUUUUAGUUUUAUCAAUGAUUUAGUAUAUCAAUUUUAUUUUAAUUUAAUUUAAAAUUAAAUUACACUAAUUAUUAUUAUAAUUUAAAAAAAUACAUAAUUAACAAUAUGAUUGAAAUUAAAAAGAAAUAUUAUUAUAAAAAAUAUAUUAAAAAAUAAUUAUAAUUAUUUUAUUAUUUUAUAUUUUAAAAAUAAAUUAUGCAAAAUAUAAUUUUAAAUUAAUUUUAUAUUUCACGUUAUAAAAUAUAAUUAAUAUAUAUUAUUAAUCAUAUAACUUUUUUUAACUACAAUGAUGAUCGAUUUAGAUUAAAUUAAAAUAGAUUGAUACACUAAAAUGAUAAAAUUAAAAAAUUUAUAUAGAUUUAAUACGGUUAAAAUAGUAAUAUUUUCAUGAGUUAAUAAAAAAAUUCAUUUUUUUUAUUUUUAUAAUUAUAUUUUAUCUUUUGAAGAAUUAAAUUCUAAAUUUUAAUAUUUGUUUCGACUAGAGGUUCACGUUAAAAACUAACGAAAUUGUCACAUUAAAUAACGCAUUAUUAUCAAAUUACGAUAUUAUUUUAACAAAAUUUAAAAUACAAUUAAUUAUAACUUAAAAAGUUAAAAUUUAAUUGAUAAAUUUUUAAAAUUAGGAUAUAAUUAUAAAUUUUUUUAAAAGUUAAAAUUUUUUAUCAUUCUCUUAAAAUUAAAAUUGAUAAUAUUAAAAUAUAAUUCAUAAUAUUAUUAUAAUUUUUUUAAUUUUAUAAUUUUAAAUUAAGCCACAUUAAUUAUUAUUAUAAUUUAAAAAUGCAUAAUUAACGAUAUAACUGAAAAUAAAAAAAAUAUAUUAAAAAAUAAUUAUAACUAUUUUAUUAUUUUAUAUUUUAAAAAUAAUUUAUGCGAAAUAUAAGUUUAAAUCAAUUUUAUAUUUCACAUUAUGAAAUAUAAUUAAUAUAUAUUAUUAAUUAUAUAUUUUUUUAACUACAAUGAUAAUUAUUAUAAAUUUAAAAAAAUUAAAAUGUGGAUUAAUUUAGAUUAAAUUAAAAUAAAUUGAUAUAAUAAAAUUAAAAAAUUUAUAAUAAUAAUAAUAAUAAUAAUAUAAAUUACUUUUUAAUAUUAUAAAUUUUAAUUUAAAAAAAAUUAAAAAAUUAAACUUUAAAGUAAAUUUAUAAUUACACAUUAAAUUUUAAAAAAUUACUAAUUAAAUUUGAUUUUUUAAAUUGUAAUCAAUUAUACUCGGCACGACAAUGACAUUAAUCUGUAACGAAAAGUUUAAUGUUAGUAUAUAAUUAAAAUAAAUAGAAAAAUAGAAAAAUAUGAGAUUUUUUGUUAUUAACUUUAUUUUCAUUAUUAAACUAUUUUUGUAAUUAAUAAUUUUUUUUAGCAUAUAUUGAAUAUAUAGGAGUAUAUUAAAACGCUAAUAUGUUAUCAUCUAAAAAAAAUUUCUCAUAUCUCGUACUUUUGAGAUAAAAUCAUAUUAUUGUUUUGAGAUUAAAUUUAAUUUUCUUUAAAUUUUAAAAUUAAAUUAUUUUAAGACAUUUUAUUAUUUUGCAGUUGUUUAUAUAUUUAUUUCAUUUGAGUAUAUAUGUAUACUAUAUAAAAUAAAAUAAAAUAUUAAAUUCCUAAAACAUUUCUAUAAUAAAUCUGUUUCUAAAAAUAAAAAAUUCAAAAUUAAUUUUAAUUCUAAUUUUUAACGAGAAUCAUAUUAGAAUUAAAAUCAAAUUACUUGUGAAACCAUUUCUAAAUUAAAGAAAAUUAUAAUUUUUUUUUAUAAAAUUAGAAUUUUAUUUUUUGAAAAAAUAUUGAAUGUGAAAUUUUAUAAAUAUAUAAUAAAUUUAUAUAUGUAUAACAUAUAAUAAAUAUCAGGAUGAAAUAAAAAUAAUUAUAAUGUAAAACUAAAUCGUGUGCCUCGGACCUUUUUGCUGGUGGUUCCAUACAAUUGAAGUACUCGUCUUCUCUGAUCUUCACAUUGAAAUUCAUCAAGCACAUCCUCAGCAUCAUAAAGAGCAUCCUUAAGCUUAGCCAACCACAACCUCAGUGGAGGGUCAUUCACUUGCUUCUCCUCAGCAUCCAUUAGCACAGCUUUCACUGUCAACAAGAUAUCCUCCAGCUUUCUGAGUUCUGCUUUCAAGCCCCAUGCAAAACAUAUCUCUUGGUAGGUAUGGGAUGCUAUCUUCUCCAACACUUUCUCAGCAAUAUUAAAAGCAAACGACUCUAUUGCCAUUUUUGUGGAUUUUGAUUUUUAUCUGAGUAGAAAUUGAGAUAGAUAACAAAAUUUGAAUCAAAAUCCCAUGCAUUUUAUAGCCUAGAAAACUCAUUUGGCAAGCAUCGAGUUUUCAAAGUUGUGAAUUAAAGCAUAAAUUCUAUUAUUUCAGCUGAUGAACUCAAAGAUUAUACUAAAUCUUUGGAGUUUAAAAUUCUAUAUUCUCCCAUCUUCUUACUCAUUCUUGGUGUAGGCAAAAGUUACAAGCAACAUGAUACCUUUGGGCCCAUUUGGUUUAGAAAAUAGAAAUGCAAUAUUGUAUAUAUUAAGCUUAUUUAUAUCAUGUAAAAAAAUAUAUUUAUUUUUUUAUAUUUUUUAAUGCUUGAGAUAUAUUAGUGAAAAUAGUUUUCUUUAUAAUAGAAAACUUAAGUUGCUUUUAAAGAAAAUUAAUUUUUCUUUUAAAGAUCAAGCCAUUUUUUAUAUUUUAAAAUAUAUAUUAAUUAUUUUAAUUUAUACAUUUUUGUUUCUCCCCCUCAAAUCGCCUAACCGGUCUAUCCUCAAUCCCAUAAGUUUUCUUUAUCUCUAUGUGCUCCCUUUCACUGUUCUCUCUACAACUUCAUGGUGAUUUUUCAAGUUUGGUGACUGAUAUACUGGAGAUUUUUCAAGAAAGAGAUUAACAGUGUCACUAAUCAUUCAUUCACACAUUUCACCACCUCUUUCUUCAUGUUGGGAUUUUAACUUGUAUGUGUUUUUUGGGGUUUUGCAAUUGGAUAUUGUUUGCUUUCGGAGCUUAGCAUUUGAUGAACUUUUUUUAUUUUUUAUUUUUUGUUUUUCUAACAAUCAUAAAUCUAUUUUUAUUUAUUUAUUUUUAGUUGAAAUAUUAGUAGUCCUACUUAUGAUAAAACUUGUCUAAACUGAUACUACAUGGACUGGUAGCAUAAUGUAAAAUAGUAGUGCAAUCCACAUAAAAUGCAUGUAAUUAUACUGUAAAUUUAUAUAGAUUUAGUUUAGAUAAGAAUUGUCUCUACUUAUAUAUAGAACAUUUUUUCUUGGUAAAAAUACUUCUUUUUUCCUGAUGUGUUUUUCUCCUCAUACUCGUUUUUUUUUUUUUGGUGGGAUUACCCUUCUGGUAAGAAGACUUUUUAAUUUGAUUAUGCUCUUUUUGCAGUGAGAAUAUAGUAUUUUGAGUUGUUCUAAGAAAGAGAUACAGAAAAACAAGUAGUAAGCAAGAAUAUCUUUUUAUGACAAUAAAGCAGAUGAUUUGUAUUAUCAAUAAUAAAAUUAAAAUUACAGAAACAACAUUUAUGAUAAGAACAAUCAUUUGUGAUUAAAAUUUCAGGUCUAGAGACAAAAGCCUCCCUUCACAGAAAUGCAGCCAUUUGUGAUAAGCAAAUUGAAGAAAACAAGAUUAUGUAAGGAGUAGCUUUUGGGAAUAAAAACAUCUCCCUUCCCACAUUAUGAAGAGUAUACAUGAAAUAGAAACAAAGUGAUUUGUUUUAAUAGAUUUUGUAGAUUAAAACUUAUUUCUCUUUUCUUGAUACAAUAUCUAUAGAUAUUGUAAAUAGAGUGAAUGAGUGUCCAUACCUUAAAUUUAAUUCUUAAGACAAUGAGGAAAAUGAGAACUGAUUAAAACAAAAAGAGAUAAAGAAGUAAAUUGCUAUUGAAAAAAUUGAUUUUAAGAAAGAAAGAAAAAAAAGCUUCAAGAAAAUAAUGCGAUUGAAUGAUGAAAUAAAUAAUCAAAUUAAAAAACUCAGUUGAGGAUAAUCAAAGUUAAAAGGUUUACCGUUGAUCAUUGAUUAAAAAGAUGAUUUAUUUAAUUGUCCAUUGUUUGGUUAUAACAUUCAAACAAGUGAAUCCCAAUAAUUCUUUCUAACGAUUAAAUUAAUCUACAUAGCGUUUAAAUUAAUUUCUAGUUAAUUAAUAAUUUCAUUAAGCGUGUAGAUUUAAUUAAUUAACUGUUUUUAAAAAAGAAGAAUUCAAACUUCAUCAAUAAUAGUAAGCGAAUUAUUUAAACUAAAUCAAUUAAUUCCUUAACAUAAAUGAAUAUGCUAAUAUCUAUUUGUAAUAACCUAAUUAAAUAAUUAUGUAUUUACUUGGGUUAAUUAGCAAUAUAUUGUCUUAUUAGGAGAUUCAAUAGGUCUCUUAAAUUCCUAAAAUGACAACAAUGGAGGUGGUGUUCUUUGAAAAUAAAAAUUAAUUGAAAACAGAAAUUCAGAUAAACAGAAAUUAAGAACAAAAUCUCACAACUUAAUUAAAUAUCACUUGAUUAACCGUCAACUGAAAAAUAGAGUUUAGCCUCUAAUUAAGAGCCAUAACAAAAUUGUAGAAGAAUAAAAGAAGGAGAAGAAGAAUUCGGUCAAGGAGGAACCGAAAAAAAGAGAGGAGAUGAUGAGAAGAGAUGUGUGAUUCUACUUCUAGGGUAGCCUUUAUAUGGGCUUUUUCCAAAUAAAAAGAUAAUUAUUCACAAUUUAAAAGAAAAAAUAAAAUAAAUAUAUUAUUUCUAUGAUGACUCUUAUUCUAAUCCUAAUUUGAUUGUGUUUGCAUCUAUUUGAAAUAGUUUUAAACUGUGUAUAGCUGGCAAAACAGUAAUUCUGGAAUUUGUCCAUCGGGCUUGGGCCUUUCAGUUAGAAAAAGCUUUAAAAUAGUCUUUUUUGGUUAUUUUCUCAUUUUUCAACUCAAAAUCUGUCCAAAAUUAAAAUUCAAGUAAAAAUCAAUUAUUUAUAUCAAAAUUAUAGCAAAAUCAUGAAAUUUAAAAUAAAAAAAAUAGUGAGUUUUGCAACUCAUAAGAUUUCCCUAUACUUCACCUUUACUUGUCCUCAAACAUAGAAAUCCUUAAAAGAAAACAAUAAAGACAAAACCCUCUCCUCAACCAUUUGAAACUUAAUUUGUCCAAAACAAAGAGCCAAGUUGUCAUGAAAUAAGAUAAUAGCAGAAAUAGUUUAAUUUCACCAAAAUUUAUUUCAAUAAGUUUCAUCUUUAAAACAUGUUUCUCAAGACAUAAAGCUGACCCUUUAUUCAAUUUCAAGUAUACAAAAUAUUUAGAUGCCAUUAAUAUCAAACUACCAUUUUGAAAGAAUAAACUCUUAGAAACUCUUGGCUAGACCGAUAAAAUUUAAAGAUUUUGAGAGUUUUAUUACACUUCCUACUAUAUAUUAUCUGAAAUUGGUGAAGUGAACGUAAAAUAAAUGGUUACUGAGUCACUUGCCUCAGGUUAUUUAGUUCAGGUUGCUACUAUCUCCACCCAUGGUCACAUAAUUGAAGGCAUGGGACGAGUUUUUAAACGAUCCAAAAAGGGAGAUACUCUCCCAAACACUAAUUUUUCCAUACAUAAUCACCUUAAGGGGUCACCAAAUACCAUGGGCCAUCGAAUGCAUCAAUUUAAAAUUUACUUCCUUUUUAUUGAUUGAUAAGAACUUAUAGAUAAGAUAAGUGAGUAUCAAUCCCUCAUAAAACUUAAUUCUAUUUAAUUUAAAUAACCAAUUGGAAUAGAAGAAUGGUUUAAUAAAAAAAUGAGAAGAAGAGAGCUUUUUUUUAUGAAAGUAGUUUUGCCUUGGACAAGUCAAGAAAAAUAAACUUAAAAGAUAAAUAAUAAAUAAUGCAAUUGAAAUUUCAGAAAUAAAUAAUUAAUUAAAACUUUCAGCAGGGCAGAAGGUAAUCAAAUUUUGGUGUUUUGUAGUUGAUCAUUGGUUAGAAAAAAAUAAUUUAUGUUAUUAUCUAUUAUUUGGCUAUAGUGGUCAAACACGUGAAUCCUACCGAUUCUUCCUUAUGAAUAAAUUAAUCCAUUUCGCGUUUAAAUUAAUUCAUAAUUAACUAACAACUCUAACAUGCAUGUAGAUUUAAUUAGUUAGAGAGAAGAACCCAAACUUGAUAAAAAAAAACACGCGAUUUAUUUAAAUUAUUCCUAACAUAAACUAAUAUGCUAAUUGCUACUUGUUAUUAACCCAAUUAAACAAUCAUGGAUUUAAUUCAAUUAAUUAGCAAUAUACUGUCUUUCCAAUAGAUUCUCAAGAAAACAACAAUGUAGGGGUGUUCCUCAAAUUCAGAAAUUAACGGAAAAUAGAAAUAAGAUGAAAAAAUUGAAGCACGUAACCUCACAGUUUGAAUAAAAUCUCAAUUGAAAUUAACUUUCAGCUAAAAAUAAUUGUUUAGCCUCUAAGAGGAAUAAUAAAAUUAAGAAAAAAAGAAAAAGAAGAAGAUGAGGAAGAAGGUGGGGGCAGCAGCUAAAGAGAAGAGGAGGGAGAGAGAGAAAAAAAUAUGAUAUUUUAAGUUUAAAUCUAGGAGCCUUUAUAAUUAUUUAAAAUAAACUCUAUUACUCCUAUUUCAUCCAUAUCCUAAUCUGAUUGUUUUUUUAUCCAACUUGAAACUUAUUUAAAACUGCUGCGGUGGUGAAACUUCCCAUCGCUUAGGUUACAGAUUUGGUCAAAAUUGCAAUCUUUCAGUUCAAAAAUUCUUCAAUUCAGCUUCUUUUCAUUUUUUUUCUCAACUUCCGCUAAAAAAACCUGUCCAAAAUUAAAUUUCAAAUAAAAAUGAAUAUUUAUAUUAAAAUCAUAACAAAAUUAUGAAAUUAAAUAAAAAAAAAGUUAUGAGUUUUGCAACUAUCACAAAGUUGUAUUUUAAUUAACUUUCCUAUUUCUGUGGCUCUUAAAAGUUGUAUUUUAAUUAACUUUCCUAUUUCUGUGGCUCUUGAUUUAAGAAAAAUUUAUUAGGCUCUUUAAUUAAUUUUGAAACUCUUUCAUACUCUUAAUCAAUUUCUUAAAUAUAAGAUUAUAGGUUCUAAUCCUUUAUUUUCCAUCAUUAAUUUUCAUCCAUUAAUACAUUAAUUAAUAAUUAAAAAUAUGACUUGGUUGGUCAAAUACAAAGCAAGAUAAUAAACCACAAGGAAAAUAAUAAAGCAUCAAAUACCCAACUCAUUAAUAGAAAAUAGUUUAAAUUCAAAAUUAAAAUAGAGUAUUACAUACUUAAUUUCUAAAUCUAAGAAAACUACUCAUUAAUCAUGCUAUUUAUAAGAAAAAAUUCAAAGUAAGAAUAAAGGAUACAUGAAAUUAGUAAAGAAGAAGAAAAAUCCAAAUGAAAAACUAUUCAAAUAUUAAAAAUCUAUGCGAAGAGAGUCUCCAUUUGUGAAGUUGCAGCUACCCCUCAUUUUCUCCAAGAGAUUUUUACGUUAAUAGUGUAGAGAAAAGGUGAGGAAGAUGAUUCCAGUGUUCUAUUAUAGUCUUCUCUCCCUUCAAAAUGAAGAAAAAGACAAACAUAUACUCUCAAAAAAUCUGACUAGUAAAGGUAAAAGUUGUCAUUUGUUAUAGAAAUUAAAUACUAAUUUCUACACAUAUGGAUGAGGUGGCAGACUAACAGACAUAAGCUAUAACACAACUUUAUAGCUCCUUAUAUAACUUUUUCCUGCAAAAUAAAAAUAAAAUUACCUAUAAAAUACUAAUAAAAAGCAAUUAAAAUUAUUAAAAAUAUCAAAUAAAUAAAUAAAAAUUACUUAUGUAAACAAAAAUAAAUGCAAAAUAUACUUAAAAUAUAUAUAAAAAUUGAGGUUAACAGCAUUCAAUGAUUUGAAAGUUGAAAUUUGUUACAUCCAUAUUCUGAUUUGAGUGACUUCAGCUAAGUGGGUUGAUGAUUUGUAAUUCUCCAUGCAUGACUAGUUCAUUUAUUAAAUUCAUCAAAUUUAUAAAGAGAAGAAAGGCUGAUAAAAGAAAAAUGAAAAGAAUCUAAAAUAAAUGAAAAAUGUGUCUAGCUAAAGUAGUUCCCGUGUAGCAUUUUCAUAAAGUGGCAGAUCUCUCAAGACUUUAUGCAAUUCUCUCAAGCCUGAACUUGAAAACUUGCUUGAAUUGAAAGCCAAGCCAAAACUUUUCACAAGUAACUGUAAGAUAAAAUAGCAUCAAGUAAUAGAGAGACAGUUUGUGUAACAUUAGGUAUGACACUAUUUACAAUAUAAAAAUAUAAAGUGACAAGAGUUUAGAGAUACACAUGUAUUAUUAAUUUUUUACAACACAACAUCAAAUACAAAUAUUACUAGAUUCAACAAUUGCCACAUAUUCAUCUGAGUUUUUCAGGCUCAAUAGACACGACAGAAGCUGAAGUAGACAAUUCAUCAAUACACCUGAAAAUUGAAAAUAUAAAUAAAAUUAUAAUAUUUUCCUUGAAUUAUAUGCAUAUACUAGAACAUUUUAAAUGCAUAUAAAUUAAAAGGGAAAAUUUAGUUUAAAUAAUAAUUUUAAAUGAAGGAAAAAGAUAAUUUAUACAUACUUAAUCAUCUGCUGAAUCGAUAUCAGAACCGUCGAUAACAAUUUUAGGAAUAUGAGCAAUCUUGGACCAAUCUUCACCUUUUCCACGUUCACAUCUUUCGCUCAAUUCAUCACAAUCUUCAAUCUCCAAUUGUUGGAGAGAUGCUAUAUUCUGUAUGCACACAGGCAAUUCUUUGAGAUAUUUACAACUUUCUAGUUUUAAGAACUGGAGAGUGUUGGUGGAUCCUUGAAGAAGCCAUUCUGGAAAAUCCACCAAUUUUGGUAACAUCGCAAGUAUCAGCUUUUGAAGGUUGAAUUGAGCCAAGUGUUUAUUACUUUUUCCUUUCUCCUCCAAUGUCAAAUUGAGGUUUUCACAAUUGCCAAUAGCAAGAAUCUCUAAUGUAGUGAGGUACUUCAUGCUUUGAGGCAAAGAGAUUAAACUUUCACAAUCUCCAAUAAUCAGUGUUCGAAGAUGUUUGAGGCCUUGCAUAUCUUCAAACAAGUGUUCUAAGUUUUCACAGUUAGCAAUGCCCAAAAAUCUAAGAGAUGUCAAGCACCCUAUUCCAUUCUUUGGCAAAAACUUCUGCUUUGUGGAAAACAUUAGAUAUCUAAGGUUGAUCAAGUACCUUAUAUCACUAGGUAACUCCUCAAUACCUUCACAUAACAUUAAAGUUUGUAAAUUAUGUAACUUGCAAAUAGAAUUGGGGAGCUUUUUAAUUCUAGAAUUUCCAUGUAGAUGGAGAUAUCUCAAAUGCUUUAGAGCACCAGUCCAAUCUAG